rnacentral:rRNA from 1 species
AAGCCUGAAUCCAGCAAUGCCGCGUGUGUGAAUGAAGGCCUUCGGGUUGUAAAGCACUUUUGUCCGGAAAGAAAUCCGCCUGGCUAAUACCCGGGCGGCAUGACUGUACCCGAAGAAUAAGCCCCGGCUAACUACGUGCCAGCAGCCGCGGUAAUACUUUAGGGUGCGAGCGUUAAUCGGAAUUACUGGGCGUAAAGCGUGCGCAAGCGGCUCUGUUAGACAGAUGUGAAAUCCCCGGGCUCAACCUGGUAACUGCAUUUGUGACUGCAAGGCUAUUAGUGCGUCAGAGGGAGGUGGAAUUCCAUCGUGUAGAAGAUGAAAUGCGUAGAGAUGCGGAGGAACACCGCAUGGCUAACGCUGCCUCCUGGAAUGACACUGUACGCUCAUGCACUUAAAGCACUGGGGAGCAAACUGGAUUAGAUACCCUGGUAGUCCACGCCCUAAACGAUGUCUACUACUUGUCGGGGAUUCAUUUCCUUGGUAACCCACCUGACGCCUGCAAGUUGACCGCCUGGGGAGUACGGCCGUUGAGGUUAAAACUCAAAG